CCUGGAGAGUUAACUACCCUCAUCCCCAUGCAGGUUGUGUCACUGAACCUCCUUGGUCCCACUGGGGAAGCCAGAUCUGCGCAUGUGGCCUGAAGACCUCCUGUGGUAGAACCAGAAGCUCAGACUUAGUUGCCACUGCUGGGAUGGCCUGGGCAGGACAAGCUGUGAGCCUGGGAGAAAGAUUUUAGAUCUUCAGCUUUGGAAGAGACCAUAAAGAUCAUCCAAGUGUACACAUCCUCAGUCAAGGCUCACAUCUUCCUUACAGUCUACUCACACUCACCUUUGCUUUAAAAAAAAAAAAAAAAAAAA